CCAGCAGCUGCGGUAAUUCCUGCUCCAAUAGCGUAUAUUUAAGUUGCUGCAGUUAAAAAGCUCGUAGUUGGAUUUCGGGUGGGGCCUGCCGGUCCGCCGUUUCGGUGUGCACUGGCCGGGCCCACCUUGCUGCCGGGGACGUGUUCCUGGGCUUCACUGUCCGGGACACGGAGUCGGCGAGGUUACUUUGAGUAAAUUAGAGUGUUCAAAGCAGGCCUACGCUCUGAAUACAUUAGCAUGGAAUAAUGGAAUAGGACUUUGGUGCUAUUUUGUUGGUUUAUGGGACCGAAGUAAUGAUUAACAGGGACAGUUGGGGCCGUUUAUAUUUCGUUGUCAGAGGUGAAAUUCUUGGAUUUACGAAAGAUAAACUUCUGCGAAAGCAUUCGGCAAGGAUGUUUUCAUUGAUCAAGAACGAAAGU
rnacentral:rRNA from 1 species